GGAUGCGAUCAUACCAUCACUAAUGCACCGAAUCCAAUCAGAACUUCGAAGUUAAGCGUGUUUGGGCGAGAGUAGUACCCAGGAUGGGUAACCUCUUGGGAAGUCUUCGAAGUUAAGCGUGCU
rnacentral:rRNA from 1 species